rnacentral:rRNA from 1 species
UAGGGAGGAGCUUGCGUCACAUUAGUUAGUUGGUGGGGUAAAGGCCCACCAAGACUAUGAUGUGUAGCCGGGCUGAGAGGUUGAACGGCCACAUUGGGACUGAGACACGGCCCAAACUCCUACGGGAGGCAGCAGUACGGAAUUUUCGGCAAUGGAGGAAACUCUGACCGAGCAACGCCGCGUGAACGAUGAAGUAUUUCGGUACGUAAAGUUCUUUUAUUAUGGAAGAAUAAAUGAUGGAACAAUCAUUCUGACGGUACCUAAUGAAUAAGCCCCGGCUAACUAUGUGCCAGCAGCCGCGGUAAUACAUAGGGGGCAAGCGUUAUCCGGAAUUAUUGGGCGUAAAGGGUGCGUAGGCGGUUAAAUAAGUUUAUGGUCUAAGUGCAAUGCUCAACAUUGUGAUGCUAUAAUAACUGUUUAGCUAGAGUAAGAUAGAGGCAAGUGGAAUUCCAUGUGUAGUGGUAAAAUGCGUAAAUAUAUGGAGGAACACCAGUAGCGAAGGCGGCUUGCUGGGUCUUUACUGACGCUGAGGCACGAAAGCGUGGGGAGCAAACAGGAUUAGAUACCCUGGUAGUCCACGCCGUAAACGAUGAGUACUAAGCGUUGGGUAAAACCAGUGUUGAAGUUAACACAUUAAGUACUCCGCCUGAGUAGUACGUACGCAAGUAUGAAACUUAAAGGAAUUGACGGGACUCCGCACAAGCGGUGGAUCAUGUUGUUUAAUUCGAAGGUACCCGAAAAACCUCACCAGGUCUUGACAUGCUUCUGCAAAGCUGUAGAAACACAGUGGAGGUUAUCAGUUGCACAGGUGGUGCAUGGUUGUCGUCAGCUCGUGUCGUGAGAUGUUGGGUUAAGUCCCGCAACGAGCGCAACCCUUAUUGUUAGUUACCAGCACGUAAUGGUGGGGACUUUAGCAAGACUGCCAGUGAUGAAUCGGAGGAAGGUGGGGACGACGUCAAAUCAUCAUGCCCCUUAUGACCUGGGCUACAAACGUGAUACAAUGGCUGUUACAAAGGGUAGCUGAAGCGCAAGUUUUUGGCGAAUCUCAAAAAAACAGUCCCAGUUCGGAUUGAAGUCUGCAACUCGACUUCAUGAAGUUGGAAUCGCUAGUAAUCGCGAAUCAGCAUGUCGCGGUGAAUACGUUCGCGGGGUUUGUACACACCGCCCG